GAGACUGCCAGUGAUAAACUGGAGGAAGGUGGGGAUGACGUCAAGUCAUCAUGGCCCUUACGACCAGGGCUACACACGUGCUACAAUGGCGCAUACAAAGAGAAGCGACCUCGCGAGAGCAAGCGGACCUCAUAAAGUGCGUCGUAGUCCGGAUUGGAGUCUGCAACUCGACUCCAUGAAGUCGGAAUCGCUAGUAAUCGUGGAUCAGAAUGCCACGGUGAAUACGUUCCCGGGCCUUGUACACACCGCCCGUCACACCAUGGGAGUGGGUUGCAAAA
rnacentral:rRNA from 1 species